rnacentral:rRNA from 1 species
UACGUAGGGGGCAAGCGUUGUCCGGAUUUACUGGGUGUAAAGGGCGCGCAGGCGGAUUAGCAAGUCAGAGGUGAAAUCCUACAGCUUAACUGUAGAACUGCCUUUGAAACUGUUAGUCUUGAGUACGGAAGAGAGAAGCGGAAUUCCAGGUGUAGUGGUGAAAUACGUAGAUAUCUGGAAGAACACCAGUUGCGAAGGCGGCUUCUUGGUCCGUCACUGACGCUGAGGCGCGAAAGCGUGGGGAGCAAACAGG